UGAGGAAUUUUCGUCAAUGGGGGCAACCCUGAACGAGCAACGCCGCGUGCAGGAUGAAGGUUUUCGGAUCGUAAACUGCUUUUCUCUGGGACGAGCAAGGACGGUACCAGAGGAAGAAGCCCCGGCUAACUACGUGCCAGCAGCCGCGGUAAUACGUAGGGGGCGAGCGUUGUCCGGAUUUAUUGGGCGUAAAGCGUCCGCAGGUGGUCUUUUACGUUUGGGGUGACAGUUCCCGGCUCAACUGGGAAAGUGCUUCGAAAACUGGAAGACUUGAGGGCUUGAGAGGAAAGCGGAAUUCCGGGUGGAGUGGUGAAAUGCGUAGAUAUCCGGAGGAACACCAAUGGCGUAGGCAGCUUUCUGGCAAGUACCUGACACUCAUGGACGAAAGCUAGGGGAGCAAACGGGAUUAGAUACCCCCGUAGUCC
rnacentral:rRNA from 1 species